UACGGGGGGCAGCAGUGGGGAAUUUUGGACAAUGGGGGCAACCGUGAUCCAGCAAUGCCGCGUGUGUGAAGAAGGCCUUCGGGUUGUAAAGCACUUUUGUCCGGAAAGAAAACCGCUUCUCUAAUACAGAGGCGGGAUGACGGUACCGGAAGAAUAAGCACCGGCUAAUUUCGUGCCAGAAGCUGCGGUAAUACGAAGGUUCCGAGGGUUAAUCGGAAUUACUGGGCGUAAAGCGUGCGCAGGCGGAUCGCUAAGACUGAUGUGAAAUCCCCGGGCUUAACCUGGGAACUGCAUUGGUGACUGGCGGGCUAGAGUAGGGCAGAGGGGGGU
rnacentral:rRNA from 1 species